rnacentral:lncRNA from 1 species
CUCUUCCACUCCUUCCAGGUUUCAUCUUCUCCAAGAUCUCCAGAACUUCAUUGAAGGAAAAGGGCCAAAACCCCCACCUUCAAAAAGAGUCACCAAUAUUGAAAGGAUUAUCAAAGGGAGAGAGGAUGAACUCAGAGCAAUUCAAGCAAAAGCCAAGGUGGAAAAAUCCAAAGAUUAGGAAUCUCUGCUUCCAUAAUAGCCUUUGAGCAAAACAGAAUACCUUGUAGCAGACAGUUCCAGAGUUGUCCAAAUAAGGCUGGGAAGACAAACUGGCAAACCAGCCUAGAAGAACCCAAGCAGAGUCCAAGAACUGAACAAAAGCCUCAAGACUGCUUCAUUCCUCCUGCAGUGCCCUGACUGGUAGAUG